rnacentral:misc_RNA from 1 species
UCCUUUUUUUUUUGCUUUAAGCUUUAUUCUUCUCUUCAUAAUGGCUAGGAGACUCUUUCUUUGACCUUUUAAUUUUUAAAAGCCACAAUGAAAGAGGGAUGACAGCUCUUAUCACAUUCCUUAAGGUUGCAUUUGGUACAAGGAACAAGACAAUACAAGAUAAAUAGCUGUUGUGUCUUAUUUGUGCAGCUCCUUCAUAAUUUGCAUUUGGAUAUUGAUGCGAACUUGGUGUUUAACAAAGCUGAAUAACGAAAAAGUAUCCACAUAACCAACCCAACUAGUUUAGGAUGAAGACUUAAUAGUAGUAGUUGUUGUUGUAUGAGAAACGAUAAAAAUAAAUUUAAUGUGUGUGUGUGUGUG